rnacentral:tRNA from 1 species
GGGUUGUGGCUAAGUGGUAGAGCGCUUGCCGCACAUGUGUGGGGCUCUGGGUUCGAUACUCAGCCCCA